UCAAAAUAUGGUCACCCUAAUUUAACUAUAGCUGAGAUUUACGCUCAGACUGAGGGGAAGCUAGUCCAUUAGUGCUGUGGAAAAACGCACGAGUCUGUAAGGCGGUUAUCCUUCGAGUCACACAACAGUGUACCAGAAAAUCAUCACAGCUGAGUCUGGACAGAACAUCACUCUGACAUGUCAAGCUCCAAACAACAACAUCAUAGUUUUAGAGUGGAGCAGAGCUGACCUGGGAAGACAAUAUGUCUUUUUGCACCGGGAUGGUCUGUUUGUUCCCGAUGACCAGCAUCCAUCUUUUAAGAACCGGGUUAAUCUGCAGGACAGACAGAUGAAGGAUGGAGACGUGUCUUUGAUUCUGAACAAUGUGACGACUGCUGAUAGUGGUACAUACGCGUGUCGUGCCGUCAUGGGAGGAAUCAAACGCAGGAAGAGAGCCAUUUUAAAGACUGACCCCAUCAGCAUCGUCUCCCUGAGAGUUGUUGAUCCUCCAGGUCAGCCUGGAGGAGACACAGAGGAUGGAGGAGAGAAGAGUGGAUCUGUUGGACUGAUCGUUGGUCUCUCAGUUUCUGCUGUGCUUGUUGUUGUUGUUGGUGGUGGUUUUUUGAUCUACAGAAUACAGAACCCUGCUUCUGGGUUCAUACCAGCCUCCAGUUAGACUUGAGCCUAUUUAACACGUUUCAGCUUUUUCCACCUGAUCUUAGUUUCUUGCUGCUGUUCCAAUUUCUCAUAGUGGACACUGAGCAUUCAGAGUUAAGACAGAUGACAAUGUACUGAAGUGAAUGUCCAUGGCAUUCAAAAUUUGGUUUUUACGGUGUUUGUGAAAUACUUCAACAUCUUUUGACUCAUUAAAGAAAUUAAACUAAACAUUUCUUUAUCCCAAAAGAAAACUUGCAAAACAUUGAAAAUUAGCCUAGCAAACAUUUUUGGGGGGAAUGUUUGUAAAUUUAUAAAUGGAAUUUAUUUCAGUGUCUGAAAAACAAUCUAAAGUGAAAGUUGUGCCUUUAGUUUCUCACUGUCUGCUCAAUGACCUCCACGAACACCAGCUGGAAGUCAUCUUAUUGUUUUUUAAGGGGAACUUGUAAAGAUGAAGUUUAUUAUUAUUCUUUUAAGAAAACAUGAACAAAAACUGUUACAAACUGCAAACAUGGCCUGUUUAUGUACUGAACUGAGACUAGCUAGCUAGUUCAUGACUGUUGCCUCCUGCUAAGCCUCUCUGACAUUUUUAAAGUUAAAGUUGCAAAUGAAAUCAACAAAUCAAAGUUGCAAUGUGGAGCUUUUAUUUAUUUCUGUGCGACCACUGCCACACAGAAAUGGGUGACAUUCCUUUAUUCCUCUAUAAAUGAAGAAAAAAGAACCAGGAGGCUCAUCAACAAUUUUGAAAGAGAUUAUUAAAUUAUUGUAAUAUUUCUGUGAGGUUUUUUUAUUAUUGUUUUUACUAAAGAUAAAGUGUGUUGAGAAUAAUGUUUCAUGGUGCCUUAUGAAUAAAACCCAAGUGGAACUGAAUAAUCUGAGCUAGAAUCAAAGUAAACUCUCGAAUGAUAACAAGGGAGAAGACUAUGAGCCAAAUUAUUAUCUUCCAACUCUUCCUUUUUUUCUACCUGUCACAAAUUCAUUUUCAAAGGCGAAUACAAAGAAGAACAGGACAGGAGUAAAAUCAUCUGCAGAAAACAUAAAAUCAUCUUAGCCUUUUCAGAAGUGCCAGUUUAUUUAAAACAAUCCAUAGAGAGCCGAGAGAGCUUCUCUUGGUCGCCCCCUCAGGGCUGUGAUUGUGUUCGAGCCACUGAGACGACUCAAUACAAAGGUGUGUGUGUGUUACUUUUAUGUUGCACCAGAAAUCAAAGAUGGGGAGGAGAGGAAAAGGAUGGCAGACUGUUGUGAACAAACCCCUCUGUCAAAACCUUCAGAAAUAAAUAGCCUUUGAUUUGAAGCCACUGUACAAUUCAGUAAUUAUUUUUUAUCAGAAAACCAAAAGAUGACAUUAUUGGACCGCUAUUUAUAACUUGGAAUAAGACUGUUACCUUUUGUCAUUUAUAUAUACACAGAGGCAGUAUUUUACUAAAAAUUUGUAUUUUGGAUCUUUGUGCCAAAAACCUGGAACCAGCACAACACCACAAAACUGCUAUAUGAGCCCAAAGAUGGAAGCACGAAUGUCGGAGGAGCUACCCAGUAAAAUUCAAUGACCGGCCGAUAUAACUUUGCAUGCCAUUCUCCAAAUUCUCCCAGUAAUGCUUUGAAAUGAUCAUUUCUCAAACCUGUUGGAUGUAGGCUGGGUCCUCUGCAACACUGCGAAUCUGUGAUAAGCAGAUGUGUGCGAGUGAGAGCAUUCUGGUUGAGCAAUGUUUGGCAAUGUCAUACCUGGACCAUGUAUAUGUGU